rnacentral:rRNA from 1 species
UACGGAGGGGGCUAGCGUUGUUCGGAAUUACUGGGCGUAAAGCGCACGUAGGCGGCUUUGUAAGUUAGAGGUGAAAGCCCGGGGCUCAACUCCGGAAUUGCCUUUAAGACUGCAUCGCUAGAAUUGUGGAGAGGUAAGUGGAAUUCCGAGUGUAGAGGUGAAAUUCAUAGAUAUUCGGAAGAACACCAGUGGCGAAGGCGACUUACUGGACACAUAUUGACGCUGGGAGGCGAACGCG